GAUGAACGCUGGCGGCGUGCCUAAUACAUGCAAGUCGAGCGAACAGACGAGGAGCUUGCUCCUCUGACGUUAGCGGCGGACGGGUGAGUAACACGUGGAUAACCUACCUAUAAGACUGGGAUAACUUCGGGAAACCGGAGCUAAUACCGGAUAAUAUAUUGAACCGCAUGGUUCAAUAGUGAAAGACGGUUUUGCUGUCACUUAUAGAUGGAUCCGCGCCGCAUUAGCUAGUUGGUAAGGUAACGGCUUACCAAGGCAACGAUGCGUAGCCGACCUGAGAGGGUGCUCCGCAGCGCAGGAGUGGAUACCGGGCCCAGACCCGUGAGGGCGCCAGAAGCGGGAAUUCUGCGGAAUGGCGGAAAAGCCAGACGGAACAACCCCGUGUGAGUAGGGAGGGUCUGAGACACUAAAAACUUUUUUAUCGGGGAAGAAAAAAUGGAAAAGUAACUCCCCAGAUCUUGGCGCCUUGUAACAAAAAAGCCAGGUAUAAGGAGCAG
rnacentral:rRNA from 1 species